rnacentral:lncRNA from 1 species
GAGUUGUAAGUUGUGAUCCUAAAUUUGAACUUGAUGGUGCUGAAAUUACUAAUGAAUUCUGGGUAGUGCAUGUUGAUAUGGCACUUGUGAAAACUGAAGAUUGGGUACGGAGUCGCAAAAACUGCAAUACUCUUGGUAAUGCAGAUUUGUUUUUGCAUCUCAACCUUUGUAAGUGAGUAAUAUCCUCCCUCUAUGACUACUUGCAUCAUGUCAAUGCAUUGUGUGUUAACAGUUCAUUUUGUUUUUUUGUUUGUAGAUUCAAAAGAUAAAUGGAUGAAUCUAUUGGUGUGUGUGGCAAGUAUACUACAAGGAUGAUGAUGAUGUUCCUGUUCAUGAUGAUGAAGACAGAUGGUUUCAGUUUUAAUUAAGUUGUAGGGAUGAUGUUCCUGUUGGAUGAUGUUCCUCGAUUGUGUUUUAGUUAUGUUGUAGGGAUGUUUAUGGAUGCUUUCAACUUAAGUCUCGCCGUCAAGAAACAUUUAGAUUAUACUUCGCAUUUGGAUGAUUUUUCUUGUGUAAUAUGCACUAUUGUAAUCCAACAAUUUUAUUUAAUAUAUGAUUUCUUCCUCCCGUGAUUAUAUUCUCUUGUUUGUCUUUACUGGAAAUUCA